UACGAAGGGGGCUAGCGUUGUUCGGAUUAACUGGGCGUAAAGGGUGCGUAGGCGGGGUUUUAAGUCAGGGGUGAAAUGCCGAGGCUCAACUUCGGAACUGCCUUUGAUACUGGAACUCUUGAGUCUGGGAGAGGUGAGUGGAACUGCGAGUGUAGAGGUGAAAUUCGUAGAUAUUCGCAAGAACACCAGUGGCGAAGGCGGCUCACUGGCCCGGAACUGACGCUGAGGCGCGAAAGCUAGGGGAGCAAACAGG
rnacentral:rRNA from 1 species